GUUGGGUCUUCAGAGGACAGUCAUGUUAGGUCCCUUUUUGAGAGCACUCCAUAGCCUCAGUAAUAGUGAGUACAUACCAUGCACAUCAUUUUGGGUCUGAGUUACUUCACUCGAGAUGUUAUUUUCUAGUUCCAUUACUUGCCUGCAAAACUCAUGAUGUCAUCGUUCUUAGUAGCUGAAUAGUAUUCCAUUGUGAAAAUGAACCACAUUUUUUGCAUCCAUUCUUUUGUUGUAGGACAUCUACAUUGUUUCUAGCUUUUGGCUAUCACAAACUAGGCCCCUAUGAACAUAGUGGAGCACUUACCCUUGUGGCAUAGUGGGGCAUCUUUUGGAUAUAUUCCCAAGAGAGGUAUUUCUGGGUCUUCAGGUAGAUCUAUUUCCAAUUUUCUGAGGAAACUCCAGAUUGAUUUCCAGAGUGGUUGUGCCAGUUUGCAACCCCACCAGCAAUGGAGGAGUGUUCCUCUUUCUCCCCAUUAUCACCAACAAGUGUUGUCACCUGAGAUCUUGAUCUUAGCCAUUCUGAUUGGUAUAAAGUGGAAUCUCAGAGUUCUUUUGAUUUGCAUUUCUGUGAUCACUAAGGACUUUGAACAUUUCUUUAGGUGUUUCUCAGUCAUUCUCCACUGGCUCACACUCUAAAAUCAAGAAUUGAUAAAUGGGUCAUAAAACUUGUCAGGAAGAAAGCUUCUAUAAGGCAAAGGACCUAGUCAAUGAGACAAACAGACAAUCUACAGAUUGGGAAAAAAUCUUCACUAACCUCACAUCUGAAAGAGGGCUAAUAUCC
rnacentral:lncRNA from 1 species